rnacentral:misc_RNA from 1 species
AACUCUCAACCCCCCUAUUUUGUAAUGAAAUGGGCGUGGGCUUGGAUUAUGGCUGUCUGUCGGCGUAAUUGCCGGCUCAGCUGAAAUACACGAGCAACCCUAUUGAAAUAGACGGUUUGACUUGGCGUAAUAAUUAUUUCGCUAAGGACGUCUUCUUCAAAUGUAAGAGGUGCUUCUAAUGCUUCAUCUAGAACUUUUAAGC